GAUGAAGAACGCAGUGAAAUGCGAUACGUAAUGUGAAUUGCAGAAUUCAGUGAAUCAUCGAGUCUUUGAACGCACAUUGCGCCCCCUGGUAUUCCGGGGGGCAUGCCUGUCCGAGCGUCAUUGCUGCCCUCAAGCACGGCUUGUGUGUUGGGCCUCCGUCCUCCUCCCGGGGGACGGGCCCGAAAGGCAGCGGCGGCACCGCGUCCGGUCCUCGAGCGUAUGGGGCUUCGUCACCCGCUCUUGUAGGCCCGGCCGGCGCUUGCCGACACAUCAAUCUUUUUUCCAGGUUGACCUCGGAUCAGGUAGGGAUACCCGCUGAACUUAAGCAUAUCAAUAAGCGGGGA
rnacentral:misc_RNA from 1 species